UACGUAGGGGGCUAGCGUUGUCCGGAUUUAUUGGGCGUAAAGAGCGUGUAGGCGGCCAGGUAGGUCUGCUGUGAAAACCCGCGGCUCAACCGUGUGGCUUGCAGUCGAUACGGGCAGGCUAGAGUUCGGUAGGGGAGACUGGAAUUCCUGGUGUAGCGGCGAAAUGCGCAGAUAUCAGGAGGAACACCGGUGGCGAGGGCGAGUCUCUGGGCCGAUACUGACGCUGAGGAGCGAAAGCGUGGGGAGCGAACCGG
rnacentral:rRNA from 1 species